GCUGGGCGUGGUGGUGGGCGCCUGUAAUCCCAGCUACUCGGGAGGCUGAGGCAGGAGAAUUGCUUGAACCCGGGAGGCGGAGGUUGCAGUGAGCCGAGAUCGUGCCAUUGCACUCCAGCCUGGGUGACACAGCAAGACUCUGUCUCAA
rnacentral:SRP_RNA from 1 species